GAUGAACGCUGGCGGCGUGCCUAAUACAUGCAAGUCGAGCGAACAGACGAGGAGCUUGCUCCUCUGACGUUAGCGGCGGACGGGUGAGUAACACGUGGAUAACCUACCUAUAAGACUGGGAUGACUUCGGGAAACCGGAGCUAAUACCGGAUAACAUGUUGAACCGCAUGGUUCAACAGUGAAAGACGGUCUUGCUGUCACUUAUAGAUGGAUCCGCGCCGCAUUAGCUAGUUGGUAAGGUAACGGCUUACCAAGGCAACGAUGCGUAGCCGACCUGAGAGGGUGAUCGGCCACACUGGAACUGAGACACGGUCCAGACUCCUACGGGAGGCAGCAGUAGGGAAUCUUCCGCAAAGGGCGAAAGCCUGACGGAGCAACGCCGCGUGAGUGAAGAAGGUCUUCGGAUCGUAAAACUCUGUUAUUAGGGAAGAACAAAUGUGUAAGUAACUAUGCACGUCUUGACGGUACCUAAUCAGAAAGCCACGGCUAACUACGUG
rnacentral:rRNA from 1 species